GCGAGGGUGGCGGAAUUGGUAGACGCGCUGGCUUCAGGUGCCAGUGCUGGAAACAGCGUGAGGGUUCGAGUCCCUCUCCUCGUACCA
rnacentral:tRNA from 1 species